ensembl:snRNA RNU6-128P RNA, U6 small nuclear 128, pseudogene
GUGCUCACUUUGGCAGCACAUGUACUAAAAUUGGAACGAAACAGAGAAGAUUAGCAGGGCCUCUGCACAAGGAUGACACGCAAAUUCAUGAAGUGUUCCAUAUUUUU